rnacentral:rRNA from 1 species
UACGUAGGGGGCAAGCGUUGUCCGGAUUUAUUGGGCGUAAAGAGCCCGCAGGCGGCUUGGCAAGUUUGGGGUGAAAUCUCCCGGCUCAACUGGGAGGGUGCCCUGAAAACUGUCAGGCUUGAGUCAUGGAGAGGGAUGUGGAAUUCCGAGUGUAGAGGUGAAAUUCGUAGAUAUUCGGAGGAACACCAGUGGCGAAGGCGGCUCACUGGUCCAUUACUGACGCUGAGGUGCGAAAGCGUGGGGAGCAAACAGG